UUUCGCAAUGCCCGAAAGGGUGACGAAGCGACGCCGCGUGCGGGAAGAAGGCCUUCGGGUUGUAAACCGCUGUCGGGAGUUAAGAAAUGCAAGGGUGUUAAUAGUAUCCUUGCUUGACUAAGGCUCCGGAGGAAGCCACGGCUAACUCUGUGCCAGCAGCCGCGGUAAUACAGAGGCGGCAAGCGUUGUUCGGAAUUAUUGGGCGUAAAGAGCACGUAGGCGGCUGUGUAAGUCGGUUGUGAAAGCCUUCCGCUCAACGGGAGAACGGCAUCCGAUACUGCAUGGCUUGAGUGCGGGAGGGGAGAGUGGAACUUCUGGUGGAGCGGUGAAAUGCGUAGAUAUCAGAAGGAACACCGGCGGCGAAGGCGACUCUCUGGCCCGUAACUGACGCUGAGUGUGCGAAAGCUAGGGGAGCAAACGGGAUUAGAUACCCCGGUAGUCCUAGCCGUAAACGAUGGGCACUAAGUAGAGGGGUUUUA
rnacentral:rRNA from 1 species